UACAGAGGGCGCAAGCGUUGUCCGGAUUCAUUGGGCGUAAAGGGCGCGUAGGUGGCGAGAUAAGUCUGAUGUGAAAUCUCCGAGCUUAACUCGGAAAUGGCAUUGGAAACUGCCUUGCUAGAGGGUUGGAGGGGGGACUGGAAUACUUGGUGUAGCGGUGAAAUGCGUAGAUAUCAAGUGGAACACCAGUGGCGAAGGCGAGUCCCUGGACAGCUCCUGACGCUGAGGCGCGAAAGCUAGGGGAGCAAACGGG
rnacentral:rRNA from 1 species